ACUCCUACGGGAGGCAGCAGUAGGGAAUCUUCCACAAUGGGCGCAAGCCUGAUGGAGCAACACCGCGUGAGUGAAGAAGGGUUUCGGCUCGUAAAGCUCUGUUGUUAAAGAAGAACACGUAUGAGAGUAACUGUUCAUACGUUGACGGUAUUUAACCAGAAAGUCACGGCUAACUACGUGCCAGCAGCCGCGGUAAUACGUAGGUGGCAAGCGUUGUCCGGAUUUAUUGGGCGUAAAGAGAAUGUAGGCGGUUUAUUAAGUUUGAAGUGAAAGCCCUCGGCUCAACCGAGGAAGUGCUUCGAAAACUGGUAAACUUGAGUGCAGAAGAGGAAAGUGGAACUCCAUGUGUAGCGGUGGAAUGCGUAGAUAUAUGGAAGAACACCAGUGGCGAAGGCGGCUUUCUGGUCUGUAACUGACGCUGAGAUUCGAAAGCAUGGGUAGCAAACAGGAUUAGAUACCCUGGUAGGAUAGCG
rnacentral:rRNA from 1 species